GUUUCUUUAUUUCUAUUUUGUUGUUUCAAAUAAACAGCAACAAUGGGGAGAUCAAAGGAUGGGCCUUAAAAAUAAAAUGUCAUUAAAUUUGUAAUAGCGGUUACUUGUUUCAUUUCCAUUCAAGUCAAACUAAUCAAGUAAUUACAUUUUGACAAUUAAGUUAAUUAGUUUUAAUCAACCUUAUCAUUUGAGUUAGUUAAAUAAAUUUUAAUUAAUCCAUUUAAUCGGUCUUGACCAACUAAUUUUGUUAAAAGAAAAAUGUACCAACUUAUUUCAUCAUCAUUUCAUAAUCACUU
rnacentral:lncRNA from 1 species